UACGUAGGGUGCGAGCGUUGUCCGGAAUUAUUGGGCGUAAAGAGCUUGUAGGCGGUUUGUCGCGUCUGCCGUGAAAAUCCGGGGCUCAACCCCGGACUUGCGGUGGGUACGGGCAGACUAGAGUGUGGUAGGGGAGACUGGAAUUCCUGGUGUAGCGGUGAAAUGCGCAGAUAUCAGGAGGAACACCGAUGGCGAAGGCAGGUCUCUGGGCCACUACUGACGCUGAGACGCGAAAGCGCGGGGAGCGAACGGG
rnacentral:rRNA from 1 species